CCUACGGGUGGCUGCAGUGGGGAAUAUUGGACAAUGGGCGAAAGCCUGAUCCAGCCAUGCCGCGUGUGUGAAGAAGGCCUUCGGGUUGCAAAGCACUUUCAGUGGGGAAGAAAGCCUUGGGGCUAAUACCCUCGAGGAAGGACAUCACCCACAGAAGCAGCACCGGCUAACUCCGUGCCAGCAGCCGCGGUAAUACGGAGGGUGCGAGCGUUAAUCGGAAUUACUGGGCGUAAAGCGCGCGUAGGCGGUCUGAUAAGCCGGUUGUGAAAGCCCCGGGCUCAACCUGGGAACGGCAUCCGGAACUGUCAGGCUAGAGUGCAGGAGAGGAAGGUAGAAUUCCCGGUGUAGCGGUGAAAUGCGUAGAGAUCGGGAGGAAUACCAGUGGCGAAGGCGGCCUUCUGGACUGACACUGACGCUGAGGUGCGAAAGCGUGGGUAGCAAACAGGAUUAGAUACCCCGGUAGUC
rnacentral:rRNA from 1 species